rnacentral:rRNA from 1 species
UACAGAGGGUGCGAGCGUUAGUCGGAAUUACUGGGCGUAAAGCGCGCGUAGGCGGCUUUUCAAGUCGAUUGUGAAAUCCCCGGGCUUAACCUGGGAACUGCAGUCGAGACUGUCUAGCUAGAGUAUGGGAGAGGGAAGUGGAAUUUCAGGUGUAGCGGUGAAAUGCGUAGAUAUCUGAAGGAACAUCAGUGGCGAAAGCGACUUCCUGGACCAAUACUGACGCUCCAUGUGCGAAAGCGUGGGGAGCAAACA